CAAGCUCUUGUUUUUGAAAGCUUGCGUAUUAGUAAUGAUGCCAUGGAUUUGACAAUUCCAAGGUGGAAGUCGAUGAGUUGUUUAUUGCUAGAUCAUGACACUUGUUUUGCAUAGGAAAGAUUGUCUGUUAGGUUUUUUUUGCAAGAUUUUGCAAAUCAAUCCUUGAAAUCUUCUAUAUUUGCAUAGUAAUCCUUGUAUUUUUCAUUUUCAUAAAAAUUCUUUUAAAGUCUUUUGUUACCAAAAGAAUCAGUCCUUCUACUAGUUUUCAUUGAUUGAAACCUCAUUAAGGUUAACCAAGUUCAUAGGGGAACAGAAAUGCCUUUGUUUUAAUAGUGAAUGAGGCUAGGACCUAGCUUCUUCUCACUCACUUUGCCCUUUUUUUGAUUCAUAGGUCCAGAGGUUGGUUAGGUUUGAGUUAGGGACAAAAAUAUUGAGAAUGUAUGAAUUAAUUUUAAAGAACAAAAGUAAAAUAUUCUGUUCACAUCCAGAUAACCUGAGGGAUAUAUAAGCAAUAAGUUACCAAUUUCAAGGAUGAAAAUACAAGAGUAAAUUACAAAAAUCUUCUUGAUGUUUCAUUUUAUCACACUUACGCCUAGUAGUUUGGGAACCUACACUUACAUCCAGGCAAACUAAUAGCAUCAAAUUGUUUACAUAAUGUGAAAAGACAAAAAUACCCACCUCUCUAUUCAUUAACUCAACCCUUCUUCCCCCAAGGAUUAGGGAUUCACCUUAGAAAAUUAUCCCACCUCCUACAUCGAGAAAGACAUUCUCUUGCUUAAACCACCUCCUCACCCUUUUGGGAUCGUAGAAGUUA
rnacentral:lncRNA from 1 species